UACAGAGGUGGCAAGCGUUGUUCGGAAUUACUGGGCGUAAAGGGCGCGUAGGCGGCCAUCUAAGUCAGACGUGAAAUCCCCCGGCUUAACCUGGGAACUGCGUCUGAUACUGGAAGGCUUGAGUAUGGGAGAGGGAUGUAGAAUUCCAGGUGUAGCGGUGAAAUGCGUAAAUAUCUGGAGGAAUACCGGUGGCGAAGGCGGCAUCCUGGACCAUUACUGACGCUGAGGCGCGAAAGCUAGGGGAGCAAACGGG
rnacentral:rRNA from 1 species